rnacentral:rRNA from 1 species
UAAGUAUAUAAAGGAAUUAUUAUGUAAUUACAGCUAUGUAUUAAGGAGAUUUAAUUAUAUAAAGGAAUAUAAAAUAUUUCUAAUUAAUAAACUCUAGAAGAAAUUUAAUAUUAAACAAAGUGAAGUGAAAUAUCUCAGUAACUUUAGGAAAAGAAAUCAAAAGAGAUUCUAUAAAUAGCGUGAGCGAAAGUAGAUAAGUCUAUUAAGUAAAAUGGUUUAUAAACUGUUUGAAUGGGGAACCUUCCUCAAAGACUAAAUAUGAUACAUAAGCGAUAGUAAGAAGCCGUGAGGUAGAUAAGUAAAUAGUAAUUUUAUAAGCAGUUCGAAUAGACUUAGUAAAAGCUAAAGAACGUACCUUUUGCAUAAUGGGUCACCAAGUUAACAUUAGAUGCGAGAAAAUUUCGUAGUUAAACCAAACGUUAAAAUAACGAUAAGUGUCUAAAGUUAGACCCGAAGCCUGGUGAUUUUACCAUGAUCAGGAUUAUAAAGGUCCGAACGGGUGAUUGUAGCAAAAAUCUCCGAAGAAUCGUGGUAGGUAUAGUGAAAGACAAUACUGACUAGGAUAGCUGGUUUUCUGCGAAACCUAUAACAGUAGGCAAUUUAAGUAAAUAUCUUAGCAGGUACAGAAUUUAAUCUCAGGCAAUAUUUUAUUGCGCAAAUUGGGGAAUCGUGAAGAUUUUAUCAGUGAGUAUGUAGACUCGGAAUGGCAAAGAUAUAUCUUGAAUGAUCAGACAUAGAAUGAUAAGGUUGUAUGUCAAAAGGGAAACAGCCCAGAACAAGAGUUAAGGUUCCUAAAUUAUUAGUUAAGUGAAAGUAAGAAGGUUUUUAUUAAAGUCGACAAGGAGAUAGGCUUAGAAGCAGCCACAAUUUUAUGACCUCGUAACAGAGCGCUUGUUAAGUUAUAAAAGCAUCGAAAAUAUAACGGAUCUAAACAAUAUACCGAAACCUUGUCCAUAGAUAAUUAUUCAAUAGAUAAUAUUUAUGGGGUAGCAGAACGUUGAAUUAGGCUAAAUAAUAAGUUUGUAAAUUUAUUAUGUUAAUUCAAGUGAGAAUGGUGACAUGAGUAACGAAAAGAAUAGUAGAUCAAAAGAUCUAGCUAUCCGCCUAAAGCUUAUGGAUAACAUUAAGUAACGGCCUCUAAGCUUGGAGUCUAAAGACUUAAGCGAUGAGAAAAUCUUUAUUAUAAAAACGACAUUUAUCUAGUGAGAAAUGUACAGGAAAAAUUAUAAUAUAUUAACCGUACCUAGAAUCCGACCAUGGUAAGCUAGUAGAGUAUACGAAGGCGUAAGUGAGAUAACAAUCAUAAAGGAACUCGGCAAAUUGACUAUCGUAACUUCGGGAUAAGUAGGGCUCAUUAUUCUUGAUUAAUAUCAGGUAAAGAGGAAGAAACAUAAAAUAAUGUUGUACGACUGUUUAAUUAAAACACAGCACUUUGCUUAAGAUUAAAAAUCUAUGUAUAAAGUGUGAUAUCUGCCCGGUGCCGGCUGGCUAACAGAGAUAAUUGGAUAUAUUACUAUUUGAUGUCGACGGAAGCCCCGGUUAAAGGCGGCCUUAACGUGAGGGUCCUAAGGUAGCGAAAUGCCUUGGCCGUUAAAUGCGGUCUUGCAUGAAUGGUGUAACGAUACAACAGCUGUCUCUAUGAUUGACUCAGUGAAAUUGGAAUAGCUGUGCAGAUACAGCUUACCUCUAGUUAGACGAGAAGACCCUAUGCAGCUUUACUGUCACUAAUUAUAGAUUACGAAGAACAAUUUUCAGACUAAAAGGGAAUUGAUUAAAUAUCUAUGAGAAACCUUUAUUUUAUUUCUUCGUUUGAAUGAAUUGAUAUACUUACGGGUAUAUCAUCCUAGUUCAGCUUAUAUAAGUACCCUUGGAGAGGAACUAUGACUAGGGGACAGUUUAUGUGGGGCACAGACCCUGUAAAGAGUAAACAGGUGUGUCUAAUAAUUAUUUUUAUUUUGUUUGCUAUUUUUAUAUAAAUCGUAUUCACUUUGGUAUAACUGUAAGGUAUAGCUUGCUAUAUGAUUAUAUUUAUAUUGAAAAUUUAGGUAAGAUUUUGACUAUACUGAAAUUAGAGAUAAUUUAAAAUUUUAUGUAGGUUUCUACUAAGAUUUUAUAGUUAUUAGUUAUUCUAAUAAUUAUGUUUUCAAUAUCUAAAAAGCUCAACGGCUUAAUCUUGCCUUACUGUUUGAUUAUCGACAAAUCUUACAGUUGCGUAAGCAGGGCAUAGGAUCACAAGAUGCAAUAAGGAAAGAUCUUGGAUUAUUGGAAAAGCUACGCUAGGGAUGACAGGCUAAUUUGCGCAAGAGUGUACAAAAUGAGUGCGCGGUUUGGCACCUCGAUGUCGGCUUAACUUAUCCUCAUGGAUGCAGAAACUAUGUAGGGUGCGACUGUUCGUCGAUUAAAAAGUUACAUGAGCUGGGUUAAAUACGUCGUGAGACAGUAUGGUUUCUAUCUUCUAGAGGGAAUUAGAAUAAAAUAAGAACGAACUUUUGUACGAAAGGAACAAGAAUGAUUUUUUUAAAUUAUAGUUACUAACCUAUGGUUUACCUGUUGUUUAUAUGCCCUGUUAUUAACUAUAUAGGUAUCAAUUAAUGGUAUUAAUAUUAUAAGUAUCGAGAGAUAUGAAUGUUGUAAUAAUAAUUAUUAUGCGAGGGAGUAUUUUAGUAUUAAUUGACUAUAUAGGUGUAUAUUUAUAUACAAAGGAUGUAUCGUUCACUAGGAUAAUAUAUUAUAUAGGCACGGCAGGGAAGCUAAGUUGGUUAAGGAUAAGUGCUGAAAGCAUAUAGGCACGAAGCUUAUCUUAAGAUAUUUCUUAAAUAUAUGUAUUAGAAUAAUACACAAUAGGCUUUCUUUGUAAGAAUCUAGAGAUUUGUAAGAUGAAAGUACUAAUUUUAUAAGUUACUAU